CGUAGCUGCCAGCUUCUGUCUGGCAGCGCUUAUGCACAAACCGAUAAUUGUUAUGUUGUCAACUGUUGUUGCUGCUCAACACUGCUGACGUUGCAUCUCUUUGAUCCAGCACUUUUAAGUACUCAAUUUCUAUGCUGCUCAACACUGUUCUUACGCGUGUUUCUUUAAUUAAACUCAACACUGCUUAAAUCAAGGACAUGCACAAGUUAAUCUUUAGGCACACAAUUUUCAACUCCAACCUACUUUUACCCCACUACUUAACACUACUUUCGGGCGUUCGCAACACUAUGCUGCUGCUUGUUUAUAUAUUCUCCAAAGUAGAACGGAAAUGAAAAUGAAUUUGUGUACAUUAAUAUCAAUUCACCCAAGAACUGGGCCUUUACAAAGCAAUUAAGCAAGGAAAAUUCUACAAAGCGUUUUCUCCGGGCAAACAAAGAACAUUUUCAUUGGAAAAACUGCCACAGAAAUUGGCAUAAAAAAUUGUAAACUCUGUAUUUUGCGUGCUAAAUAAAUUUUGUAAACAGCGCGAUAGAAUGGCAGAAAGAAACCAAUUAAAGUGACCGCAGAGCGGAAGAAGUUGUCAGUUAUUGAAAUAAUAAAAAGAAAUACCCGACGAAAGACAUUCAGUGAAAGAAACGUCUGCUGAAUGCCAAUCAGAAAGAUGAACAUAGCCCUAAAUGACAGGGUCUAGAGACAAGCGCAUGAGCGAGUCUUUUGAGCUAUUGAUGAUUGACUGGCACAGCUGGUUAACUUACAGCAGAGAGAAGCGUUUUGUUGUUAAGUUCUCUUUUCCCAGUAUUACAUUUUGAAAUAGUUUUACAGCACUGGACGUGGCGCACUUCAAGGUCGCGAUACCCCGCCCAAACGCAAAACAAAUUGAAAGAAAAAUCCACGCGUCACAUUCUUUCAUUUUUUUUUUUAAUCUCUUAUUUUUUUUGUUUUGGCACAAGUUCUAAUGCUUAUUUUUAGAUAAGUUGGGGAACGCGCCUUUGCCCUGUUUGUGCGCCGUCUUCACUCUAUUUGGCACAAUAAACCAGUCGAAACGAAUUUGAGCCAAACACAAAUACAAUAUUUACCAAUUAAUCACGAAAAGCGAACGCAUUACAUGGAUUCGGCGAGUGUGUCACAAGGGAACUGUUCAUAAUUUCAUUAUGGAGAGAGGGCAUAUACCAUAUAUUAUAUCAUCUGCCCACAAAAAGGCGACUGUUGUAUAUAAAAUAUGAUGAAUAAUGCAAAAUUGAAAAAACACGAAGAGUGCAAAAUUUUAAGACAUAAUGGAGGAGAGUGUUAUG